GACGAACGCUGGCGGCGUGCUUAACACAUGCAAGUCGAACGGAAAGGCCCUGCUUUUGUGGGGUGCUCGAGUGGCGAACGGGUGAGUAUCACGUGAGUAACCUGCCCUUGACUUUGGGAUAACUUCAGGAAACUGGGGCUCAUAUCGGAUAGGAGCUCCUGCUGCAUGGUGGGGGUUGGAAAGUUUCGGCGGUUGGGGAUGGACUCGCGGCUUAUCAGCUUGUUGGUGGGGUAGUGGCUUACCAAGGCUUUGACGGGUAGCCGGCCUGAGAGGGUGACCGGCCACAUUGGGACUGAGGUACGGCCCGGACUCCUACGGGAGGCAGCAGUGGGGAAUAGUGCACGAUGGGCGGAAGCCUGGUGCAGCAACGCCGCGUGCGGGAUGACGGCCUUCGGGUUGUAAACCGCUUUCGCCUGUGACGAAGCGUGAGUGACGGUAAUGGGUAAAGAAGCACCGGCUAACUACGUG
rnacentral:rRNA from 1 species